UUUUUUAAAUAUAUUAGUUAGAGAAUAGUAAAAAAUAAUUUAAAAUUAAAUAUAAUAAGUUUUUAUUAUUAGAACAUUAAAAUAGUAAAAUUAUUUAUUUAAAGUUACUUUUUUUCAUAGCAUAUGAAAUAAUAUUUUUUUUUUUUGAAAAAUAGUUGUUCUUAAAAUUUCAAUACCAAACAAGUACUACAUGUGGUUUAUGCUAAAAUCAAACCUUCAUCACUGAGGCAUAAUUAAUGUGUGAAAUAGUUUUAUUUAUCAUUUUGACCAAAUGGAUAAUCUAUGAGACUAAAAAGAUAAUAAUAUUCAGAUAAUCAAUGUAUAAAACUCUAAAUCAUCUCCUACCUAUAAAGUGUAAAUCACAUAGAAAGGCAAAGAAUCCUAAGCAUAGGAGAUGCUCCUCUUUAAUUGGCAUAGUAUAGAUAAAAUAAGAUCAAUUUCUAACCCAAUGGAUUAAAAAGAAUGUCCUCUUGCUUAAUGUAAGGAAGGCAAUUUACUGUGAAAUCUUGAAACGCUUACCUGUUGAAUUUUUUUGUUGCAUCGGUUUUCUUAGUUUGUGAUGAAAAUUUUUACUGUGUCCUGUGCUUUUUAUCCCUUGCUUUCACAUCUUCUUUGUUCUCCCUUGAGUGGGUUUGGCUUCAAAGAUAACCAAAAAUCCUAUCAAGUUCCUUGCUCUGUCUCCUCCACUGAUGGAUGCCAAGUGCCAACUGCUAAUGAAAACUAUUUCAUCAUUUAGAGGUGGCUGACUCAACUCAUAUUAUGCAUCAAAAUUCCAGUCGUCUUCUGUUUCCCUCAUAAUCUUUGCCACAACCCAUUCAGUUCAAAAGCUCUAUUUUUUUUUUUUUUUUUU
rnacentral:misc_RNA from 1 species